GCCCGCUUGGCUAAGUGGUAUAGCGUGUCACUAGUACCGUGAGACUCGUAUAAGAAUCUCGCAAACUAGAUGCCAUGACAAGAUCAGCGGUUCGAUUCCGCUAGUGGGCA
rnacentral:tRNA from 1 species